CAGUCGCCACGGUAAUACGAAGGGUGCAAGCGUUAAUCGGAACUACUGGGCGUAAAGCGUGCGUAGGCGGUGAGUUAAGUCUGCUGUGAAAUCCCCGGGCUCAACCUGGGAAUGGCAGUGGAUACUGGCUCGCUAGAGUGUGUCAGAGGAUGGUGGAAUUCUCGGUGUAGCGGUGAAAUGCGUAGAGAUCGGGAGGAACAUCAGUGGCGAAGGCGGCCAUCUGGGACAACACUGACGCUGAGGCACGAAAGCGUGGGGAGCAAACAGGAUUAGAGACCCCUGUAGUCCCUGUCUCUUAUAC
rnacentral:rRNA from 1 species